rnacentral:pre_miRNA from 1 species
UGUCUUUAAAGCCUAGUAGCCUAUAGGUUAGCCUGGUUCUAUCAGUAGACCCAGGCUAACCUAUAGGCUACUAGGCUUUAAAGACA